rnacentral:rRNA from 1 species
UACAGAGGUCUCAAGCGUUGUUCGGAUUCAUUGGGCGUAAAGGGUGCGUAGGUGGCGGGGUAAGUCGGAUGUGAAAUCUCAGGGCUCAACCCUGAAACUGCAUUCGAUACUGCCUUGCUCGAGGACUGGAGAGGAGAUUGGAAUUCACGGUGUAGCGGUGAAAUGCGUAGAUAUCGUAAGGAAGACCAGUGGCGAAGGCGGGUCUCUGGACAGUUCCUGACACUGAGGCACGAAGGUCAGGGGAGCAAACGGG